rnacentral:rRNA from 1 species
CCUACGGGUGGCUGCAGUGAGGAAUAUUGGUCAAUGGGCGAGAGCCUGAACCAGCCAAGUAGCGUGCAGGAUGACGGCCCUAUGGGUUGUAAACUGCUUUUAUAUGGGGAUAAAGUUAGUCACGUGUGACUAUUUGCAGGUACCAUAUGAAUAAGGACCGGCUAAUUCCGUGCCAGCAGCCGCGGUAAUACGGAAGGUCCAGGCGUUAUCCGGAUUUAUUGGGUUUAAAGGGAGCGUAGGCUGUUUUUUAAGCGUGUUGUGAAAUGUAGAUGCUU